UUUGAAUAAAGAUUAUUUUAUCUUAACCUCUCGUCUGUGUUGGCAUGGAUCCUUGCGGGCGGCUUGUCUGUGUUGUCAUGGAUCCAUGCCAUCCAUGUCUAUACUACCUUGCCUUCUCUUAUUGGAUUU